GCUUACAAUCGCUUAGCGGCCUCCUUACUAGCAACGUUACAGAGAAGAUUAGCAUGGCUCUGCGCAAGGAUGAUACGCAAAAUCGUGAAGCGUUCCACAUUUUU